rnacentral:rRNA from 1 species
AACGAACGCUGGCGGCAUGCCUAAUACAUGCAAGUCGAACGAUCCUUUCGGGGAUAGUGGCGCACGGGUGCGUAACGCGUGGGGAUCUGCCCUUGGGUUCGGAAUAACUUCGGGAAACUGAAGCUAAUACCGGAUGAUGACGAAAGUCCAGAGAUUUAUCGCCCAGGGAUGAGCCCGCGUAGGAUUAGCUAGUUGGUGAGGUAAAGGCUCACCAAGGCGACGAUCAGUAGCUGGUCUGAGAGGACGACCAGCCACACUGGAACUGAGACACGGUCCAGACUCCUACGGGAGGCAGCAGUGGGGAAUUUUGGACAAUGGGGGCAACCCUGAUCCAGCAAUGCCGCGUGAGUGAAGAAGGCCUUCGGGUUGUAAAGCUCUUUUGUCAGGGAAGAAACGGUGAGGGCUAAUAUCCUUUGCUAAUGACGGUACCUGAAGAAUAAGCACCGGCUAACUACGUGCCAGCAGCCGCGGUAAUACGUAGGGUGCAAGCGUUAAUCGGAAUUACUGGGCGUAAAGCGUGCGCAGGCGGUUGUGUAAGACAGGUGUGAAAUCCCCGGGCUUAACCUGGGAAUGGCAUUUGUGACUGCACGGCUAGAGUGUGUCAGAGGGGGGUAGAAUUCCACGUGUAGCAGUGAAAUGCGUAGAGAUGUGGAGGAAUACCGAUGGCGAAGGCAGCCCCCUGGGAUAACACUGACGCUCAUGCACGAAAGCGUGGGGAGCAAACAGGAUUAGAUACCCUGGUAGUCCACGCCCUAAACGAUGUCUACUAGUUGUCGGGUCUUAAUUGACUUGGUAACGCAGCUAACGCGUGAAGUAGACCGCCUGGGGAGUACGGUCGCAAGAUUAAAACUCAAAGGAAUUGACGGGGACCCGCACAAGCGGUGGAUGAUGUGGUUUAAUUCGAUGCAACGCGAAAAACCUUACCUACCCUUGACAUGUCUGGAAUCCUGAAGAGAUUUGGGAGUGCUCGAAAGAGAGCCAGAACACAGGUGCUGCAUGGCCGUCGUCAGCUCGUGUCGUGAGAUGUUGGGUUAAGUCCCGCAACGAGCGCAACCCUUGUCAUUAGUUGCUACGAAAGGGCACUCUAAUGAGACUGCCGGUGACAAACCGGAGGAAGGUGGGGAUGACGUCAGGUCAUCAUGGCCCUUAUGGGUAGGGCUACACACGUCGUACAAUGGCCGGGACAGAGGGCUGCCAACCCGCGAGGGGGAGCUAAUCCCAGAAACCCGGUCGUAGUCCGGAUCGUAGUCUGCAACUCGACUGCGUGAAGUCGGAAUCGCUAGUAAUCGCGGAUCAGCUUGCCGCGGUGAAUACGUUCCCGGGUCUUGUACACACCGCCCGUCACACCAUGGGAGCGGGUUCUGCCAGAAGUAGUUAGCCUAACCGCAAGGGGGGCGAUUACCACGGCAGGGUUCGUGACUGGGGUG